rnacentral:rRNA from 1 species
UAGGGGGCGAGCGUUGUCCGGAAUGACUGGGCGUAAAGGGAGUGUAGGCGGCUAUGUAAGUUAGAUGUGAAAACCCACGGCUUAACCGUGGAACUGCAUCUAAAACUGUGUAGCUGGAGUGCAGGAGAGGUGAGUGGAAUUCCUAGUGUAGCGGUGGAAUGCGUAGAUAUUAGGAGGAACACCAGAGGCGAAGGCGACUCACUGGACUGUAACUGACGCUGAGGCUCGAAAGCGUGGGGAGCAAA